CUAUCACUAACUCGUGCCUUAGACUCGCUCCCCAAGUCGCGGGAACAGGGAAAGGUGUAGCGAGGCCGGUGGCGUCGGAUCUGCCACCACGUAGCACACGAAGUGCGGCACCACCGGAGCCCAAGACGAAAAAACCUAAGUGGCGAGAUAACGGCGAGCUCGACACGCCAUGGCGUCCAACCAAGAAAGAAGGCAGGCGAAGCCCGAGCGGUCUCGACGAACGAAUCUACUCCGACGCCCAAAAGAACACUGCUUACAUGCCCAUAAGCUGGCCAAGUCCAAGUUCAGUGCAAGAAAACGCUGAUGAGAUUUUCUUCGAGGUCGUCGGCGGAUCAAUGGUAGCUGGUAAGCGUCGGCCUCACUCUGUAGGUUCAUCAUCUGCUUUAUUACGUAUGCUCCCAUGUAUCUUUCUUUCUAAGUUAAGAUUGCUGUGGCUAAGGUUUUAUCAUUCAUGCUUAAAUGCACGCACAUGUUGUGUUCGAGAGAAUGCGCGUGACAAAUGGGUCGUCUUCUUACAAGGCUGAUGAAUUUUGGAGUUGUGAUGCAUACUAACAGUGAUACCAUGGUAAGUCCUCCAGCCAAAGCUGAGAGCAUGAAGCAAUACAAAUGCGCCAGUUGCAGUUCAAAGAAAGGAAAGGCAAUAACUUUGAGUAUGAUCUCCAAUUUGUCUGUUGCAAUCUAUAGGCAUUUAGAACGGGGCAGUGCCCCCAAAUUGGCUAUCUAUGGCAGCAUUGUGGGUAUGAUGUAGAUGGCUGUGACAGCUUAAUUCUUAACACUGCUUUUUCUUGCAGCUGACUUGCCGGUUUCAGUCCCGACUUAACCAAACCGAUCAGGUUAGUUCAACCCUGCUUUGAACAGGUCCGUUUAAAGUGAUCUGUUGGUUGCAUGAUUGAAUCUGAGUUAGUUGGUUUGAUCUUGACCUGCCGUGCAUAAAUGUUUAUUUGGUAACUCUUAGAUAUGGUCUGAAGGAUGAAAGGCGAUUGUGGUUACAUAGAAUAAGUGGUCUGAAGGCAUGGAUUAUUCAUGGAUACCGUCCUGGUAAACUGGAACUUCUACUCUGCUUCUUCUAAGCUCAUGCAAUUGUCUCGCAUCGAAUUUUGUUUAAUUUAUGAAGUAUAUACAGGCUGAGAUGUAUCCUGAGAGUACUUCAAUUAUGACUACAUGACUGCAAUGGAGUUCGUCACAGAUGAGUCAUCCUUGUGUGCAUAAUUCGAUACUAUUUUUUUUAUUUAUGAUGCAUAUGUUUUUCUCUUCAGGACUAAAUUUUUUUUAUUCCUGAUUCACCAGGUGUGGUCUCAUGUAGGACCAGUCACAGUUCGACACAGAUGCAAAACGUGUGCAUGGAGAGGCCAGUUGUCAUUUAACAUUGGUCCAUGAUGGAGUAUCGUCUUGUUUGAACAAACACCAUUGUUUGCGAAGUGAUGCAGCUGCGAUUGGUGACGGAAGGAUUGAUAUGCGUCCUAAUCUCACAAUUAAGGAUACAUGUAUGAAGUUUUUCUGUGUAUGGAUGAAAGACUAUGUAUAUUGAUUCUCUCCAGACCCAUAUUGAUAGAAGCCUUGGCUA